CCGGGAACUCGGGGCAGCCCUGGGCUCUGCUUUCCCGGGGCCGGGCUGGGGGCUCGUUGCCCGGACCCUGCCCGGUUACGUCUCGUACCGAUGGGCUGGUGUCAGCGUGGACGCGGAGAGCGCACACGGGUUGCACGUCUCGGCGUGUAACUUCCAGGCAUGUCGAACCCGCGCAGCGUUAUGCUCCGAAGCAAGCCCUGUGGAGUGUAUUUCUGCAUGUCAUGGGCUCACGUCUCACGUGGGAGUCCUGCCUCAUUGCUUGGGAACCACCAUUCCGUACAUCAGAGCAGUAGAUUCUGCCUAUACAGACGACCAUAUGGAUGUGCCGAGCUUCUUGAACAUGCCACAGGACUGGAC